rnacentral:rRNA from 1 species
AUUGAACGCUGGCGGCAUGCCUUACACAUGCAAGUCGAACGGCAGCGGACCUUCGGGUACCGGCGAGUGGCGAACGGGUGAGUAAUGUAUCGGAACGUACCUUUCAGUGGGGGAUAACGUAGCGAAAGUUACGCUAAUACCGCAUAUUCUGUGAGCAGGAAAGCAGGGGAUCGCAAGACCUUGCGCUGAUUGAGCGGCCGAUAUCAGAUUAGCUAGUUGGUGAGGUAAAGGCUCACCAAGGCGACGAUCUGUAGCGGGUCUGAGAGGAUGAUCCGCCACACUGGAACUGAGACACGGUCCAGACUCCUACGGGAGGCAGCAGUGGGGAAUUUUGGACAAUGGGGCAACCCUGAUCCAGCCAUGCCGCGUGAGUGAAGAAGGCCUUCGGGUUGUAAAGCUCUUUCGUCCGGGAAGAAAUCGCAUCAGCUAAUACCUGGUGUGGAUGACGGUACCGGAAUAAGAAGCACCGGCUAACUACGUGCCAGCAGCCGCCGUAACAC